UGGAUCUUGUUCCCCAAAUAUUGACAAUAUCUUGUUCCCGAAUUUGAGGUUUCGCCAUUUCAAAUUUGAAGCCGAAUUUGAGACGUUAGACGUUUGGUUUUCGCCAUUUCAAAGUUGAAGCUAAAUUUGAGACGUUUGGUUUUCGCCAUUUCAAAUAGUACUCUCCUUUCGUUCAAUUUAGAAACGAAGAAGAGAAUUGGAGAAGAUGAUUCUCAGAAGUUCAGAACGCCGCAGCCGAGGAAGAGGAGGGCAGAAUCUCCGCCGCAGGAAGGCAAUAACGCCAACAACAAUACGCCUCCGAGUCCCACUUCUGCGAGGACUUACUUGCCGGUGCCGGAAUAUUCGCAUGACCACUCGAUUCCAGUGAAAUCCGAAAUUUUCGAUGCUCUAAGCAGUGCAGAAAAACUAGCACAUGAUAUCAAUCUAAAUUUCAAACUCUCAAUGAGGGUUUUGAAAAAUCUGAUCAGUUUUUUCCGGUUCUUCCCAAUAUGAUAAUGAGCUAUGAUUCCAAUUCAACAAAUCCCUUUAUAUCAUCUACCACAGGGAAGCUACCUUCAGUCACAGUAUUUUUUGCACCUCUUCUUAUUAAUUCUGAAAAUAAUGCAAUCUUCUUUGUUUCUGAUGACGCAGAAUUUAAAAAUUCAACUAAUCGGUGGUUCCUCUUCAUUGUUGCAGGAAUUUCACCAUUAAGUAAAUAGAGUGAUUAUUAAGUAGCUGAUUUGCAAGUAGAUUUGUCCAAAAAAAAAUAUUCAGAUACCUCUGCAUCUCUGCAAAUGUUGGAAAAGUCCAAUUCCUUGUUUUUGUCCUUGUCAUUUGUUAUGUGCAUGUCUUCAUUGCUCAUUACUAUUACUUUAUUAGUCGAAUUAUUUAUCCACACUUGUGAUUCGCUGAUCACAAGCUUCUGCAUCUCUGCAUGCUAUGAAGGAUUUUCUAUAUUAUGGUAGGUGUGGGUUAGGAACGGGUAAAAUGAAAAAGAAGGAAUAUGGGGGCUUUAUUUUUAAUUGUUCUGUGGUGAUUUAUGUAACAUGCUUAUAUUUAAAUUUAAUACUUGAAAAACUAGAUUGUAGCAAGUCAUAUUAAUAAAAUCUUAUUCUGACUGAUAAGUUUAAUAAAUGAGCUCUUAUUUGUUAUAAAUAACAUAUAUGCUCAUCAUCAUGUAAAGGGUAUUUAUAUCAUGAUGACUGAGUUAAUCUCAAAUUGUAGUUUUCUUAUCUUUGUACUUAUGCAUAUAGACAUGCAUACAUUAUAUGAAUCUAUGUUUCUUCCCAAAAUUUUAUUAUAAUGUUUCUGAAGUUGUUAACAGGGGUUACGAUCACAACUCCCAAUCUAUAGAAAAUAAAUAAAUGGUGAAGAUGUUGAUGGGGUGCCGAAGUAACUCACGCCAUACUUUCAGCAAAAGUGUUUAACUUCAAUUACUUUAACUUUGAUGAUCCAAAGGAUCCAGAAUGAUAAAGUACCUUACCAUAUUUAUUUUUUGUUACUUGCAGAUGAUUCCAUAGUUAUUUUUAAUAUCACAGCUUCAUACCAUGAACCCGGAUCCAAAUUAAAAAAAAAACCUACGCUUUUGAAAAUGUCUACCAGAAAUGUUUCCAAAUAUAUCAUCUUUCAAAUGUGCCGUGCCUUUCUCUAAAUGUUUCUGUACGGAAUGUUGGUCAUGUUUCAUUUUCUUGGUGAAGUGCUUGGAAUGAUAUGUUAUACCCUGAGAUUCUUUCUAGGACUAGCAGUUGAUUACUUGAAGACUUUUAAUUUGUUCUCCUCCCAGCGAGCUUAGAGAAGCUCCACUUUUACAUGCCUAACUAUUGCACGAUGGAAAUGCUUGUCUCCUCACACUCACAUUGCUCUUUCUUGCAAGCUGUUUUGUUCCUCCACAAGCUCAACACAUGCAGCAUUUUUAAUAAUUUUUUUGAAAUGACAAUCCAAUAUAGUCUUUCAAUCUCGUAUUUUUCUUCUGGAAAAGUGAACAUUUUAUUAAUUAUAAUAUCUUUACAGCAUCUGUCUAUAUCCAUUUCCAAGUAGAUAAAUCGUGACUGUAAGUCUGUAACUCACCAAUUCGUAUGUACCUGUUAAGAUGUCGCAUCUUUUUGCUUGUUUCUCUCACAAUUUCUGUAGAUCCAUAUUAUGGCUUGAUUGCAUCACCAAAAAUAAAUUUGGCUUCUUACAGAAUCAGAGAGAAAGAAACUCGUAGAGAAAAUUUUCAACACCUAACAGGAACUAGCUGCUGCUAGAGGAUGUGAACAUAUAUUACAGGAGCAACUAAGGAAGGAGGUCGAUGUUUCUCAAAAACAUCUAAGGAAACAACUACGGGUCUUUCAUGAGCUUGAGAAUGAGAUGGGUCUGCGCAAAAAUGCUGAGUCGUCAGCGUCCAAAGUUGAAGAAAGAGCACACGUAUUAGAGAAGCUAAAUACCCUAUCAGAAAGCAUAAAUAAAGAAAAUGGCUGUCUUCAAAAUGAGCUUGUUCAAAUGAGAAGUGAUACCAAAAGUUGUUUGUUUCUAGAAUAAGUGCUGAUAGCUAAAAAUGCAGAGAAAGAGUCUGAAUUACUGAAAGUGCUCUUAGAAGGACUUGAAGAGCAACUGGAUAAGGUUGAUAUAUUUAAUCGGAAGAUGAAUUCAGUUUCUGCCUUCACAGCGUAUCUGACUGUGGAAUCUUUCAAUAAGCUUACACUGCCAUGAAAUGCUUUUCACUUCUCUUUGUCUGUGAUUAUUUCCUAUACUGUAAAUAUUUGGCUCUUGCUGGGAUAAAUUAAGCUGUACAAUUUUCUUUUACUUCUCUUCAAUUGAAUGUGGUGUCAAAUAUUUUGUUCUCUUAUGACAUUUAUCAUUUGAUCAUCCACUUGAUAUGAGAUGAGUUCUAGGUAUAGGUUAGAACUCAAACUGAACCU